rnacentral:piRNA from 1 species
UGUUGAGGAAUGCAAUUGAAA